CGAGAGGAUAACGGAGGUCUCUCCCCGGGCCAAUGACGGAGAGAUCGAGGAAGCGAGACGGCGGCACCGAGUUGUGUGUAGACGGUGGAGUUGUGUACAACGGGAGCGCAUUCGCCGAUGGAAGCUCUUUCCAAGAUAUGUAAACCACACUAUAAUCUGUUGCAUUUUUAUGGUUGAGCGUUUGAAAGAUAAACUGUUGAUUAAGGAAUUAUUUGAUAUUUGUGAAUUAGAAUAAUCAUGUCUGUACACACACACACACACCAUUUCUUUUUGGUUUAUAUGACUGGUUAUUUUCGAAAUAGAAGAAAAUGAAGAACACUCAGUUGCAUUCUAAAGUGAAAAUGCAUCAGUGGGAAAUUAGGUCAGGAAUUCGUUAUUUGAAUUUUGAAAUCAUACCGAGUCUAAUCUUCCUAACUAUGUACUCUUUGGUAUAUUCAAGUAAAUAUGGUCUGGACUUGUUCAAUUUGGAUGUACAAGAACUCAAGAAGUGAACACUUGGCAUUGAUUAACUCACUCUUAUUGCUAGUUGUGUUGUUACAUACCUGUUUUCUAUCACCUAAUGGGCUAUCUUAAUUAGUUUGUUACAUAAGUCUUGAGCAAUGGCAUCUAACACAAGCUAUGCAUUUCCAAGUGAUGGUUGUAUGGAAGAUGCUAUUCUUCAAGGUUGCUCUAGUUUGGAAAUUUACAAUUCUUGGUUCACCCCACAUUUUGGUGAGUGGGCAUUAGGGUUUUGUGCAGAGAUAUACAAUAAAGACAGUCCAGGCUAUGCAUAUCAAGGUGACCAACCCUUGCAGUGUGUGAGCUCACUAGACCUAUCUAAUAGAUGCAUUAACAACCUCUUCCAGUAAGGUAUGUUAUGGAUGAAUUAGGUUCAUCUCUGCGGCUCCUUUCCUCUACAUGCCAGAGGGUGAAUUGGCAUCAGCUGUGAGCUAUUCAAUUCUUUGGCCAACUGAAGAUAUUCAAAGAAAUGAUGAGUGCACUCGUGAUUUCCUAUUUGGAAUUGGGGAAGAUAAACAACGCUCGGCUAUUAAAAAGUCAUUGCUUGUCUAAUCUCCAGGAGUAUGAGGCAUGCAGAAAUUGCAAUCAACCAAAUUUACUCCCCCACUAAAAGAGUCAUCUGUUACGAGUGCUUUGUACCGUGCUGAUGGAAGUGCUUUGCGUGUGUAUACAGAUAUACCUCAUGUGGAGGAAUUCCUGAACCGCCCUGAAUUUGUAAUUAGUUUCAUUCGGUUUGGAGCUAGGGAUCCAUACACCAACUUUUGACAUGGACCUUUCCGACUUCAUGGAUGGUGACCAGCCUAUGUCAUAUGAGAAAGCAUACAAAUAUUUUUCCCGUGAUCCAUCUCAAAGUCACCUACUUUGCGAGGGAAAAUUCCGCCUCCACCGCUCACGACAGAUUAUUUCCGUCGCGAAAUGAAAUACAACAAGUCUUGACACUACGAAAUGAAUUCCGUCGCGAAAAUGUAAAAUUCCGUCGGAAAAUGUGAUUUGUGAUAGGAUUUCACGUUUUUGCAACGGAAUCACGAUUUUUCUUGUAGUGUUGAGAAUGAUAUUGGAGAGGUUACACAAGAUGAUGAAGCCAUGAUUGAUGUAGAGUUGCAGUAUAAGGAUAAGGGAAAGAAGGUUAACUAUAAAGACAAUGUUAAGUGUAAGGCUAAGGGCAAUGUUAAUGACCAAGAAGAAAGCAAAAAAAAAAAGGAUGAGGGUGAGGUAUGUAGUGAGGAUUACUAUUAUGACUUUGCAAACCCACCAAUAG